rnacentral:rRNA from 1 species
UACGGGGGGGGCAAGCGUUGUUCGGAAUUACUGGGCGUAAAGGGCUCGUAGGCGGCCAACUAAGUCAUACGUGAAAUCCCUCAGCUUAACUGGGGAACUGCGUGUGAUACUGGAUGGCUUGGAUUUGGGAGAGGGAUGCGGAAUUCCAGGUGUAGCUGUGAAAUGCGUAGAUAUCUGGAGGAACACCGGUGGCGAAGGCGGCAUCCUGGACCAAUAUUGACGCUGAGGAGCGAAAGCCAGGGGAGCAAACGGG